GAACUGGUACCCAAGUGGUCUAAGGGGAUGGUCUGCAAAACCAUUAGUCGUGGGUUCGAAUCCCAUCCAGUUCU
rnacentral:tRNA from 1 species